CCUACGGGAGGCUGCAGUGAGGAAUAUUGGUCAAUGGGCGGGAGCCUGAACCAGCCAAGUCGCGUGAAGGAAGAAGGUACUUAGUAUUGUAAACUUCUUUUGUCGGGGAACAAAGGCGGAGACGCGUCUCCGGAUGAGUGUACCCGAAGAAAAAGCAUCGGCUAACUCCGUGCCAGCAGCCGCGGUAAUACGGAGGAUCCGAGCGUUAUCCGGAUUUAUUGGGUUUAAAGGGAGCGUAGGUGGAUUGUUAAGUCAGUUGUGAAAGUUUGCGGCGCAACCGUGAAAUUGCAGUUGAAACUGGCAGUCUUGAGUACAGUAGAGGUGGGCGGAAUGCGUGGUGUAGCGGUGAAAUGCUUAGAUAUCACGCAGAACCCCGAUUGCGAAGGCAGCCUGCCAAGCCCUGACUGACGCUGAUGCACGAAAGCGUGGGGAUCAAACAGGAUUAGAUACCCCGGUAGUC
rnacentral:rRNA from 1 species